CCGGAGAGGGAGCCCGAGAAACGGCUACCACUUCCAAGGAAGGCAGCAGGCGCGCAACUUACCCUAAUCUCGAUUCGAGGAGGUAGUGAACAAGAAAUACCGAUGCGGGACCCUACGGGGUGCCGCGUUCGGAAUGAGUACGAUUCGAACCACCUAACGAGGAACGAUCGGAGGGCAAGUCUGGUGCCAGCAGCCGCGGUAAUUCCAGCUCCAAUAGCGUACGUUAAAGUUGCUGCAGUUAAAAAGCUCGUAGUUGAACGUUCGGGUUCCGCGGGACGGGGCCGCCCCGCGAGGGACGGCGCCGCCCCCGGGGCUCGUGAUAUCUCAUCUCGCCGCCCGUCGCGAGGCGGACGGAGGGAUGGAUGAGGUUACCUGGAAAAAAAUCGGGGGCGAUCUAGGCGGGCGAACCUCGCCAACGAACGAUCGGACAUGGGAUAACGG
rnacentral:rRNA from 1 species